ensembl:snoRNA small nucleolar RNA SNORD41
CUGGAUAUGAUGUAGAAAACCUCAACAGUGACUACUAGUGAUGUUUGUUGUAUUCAUACUGUCUGAUCCAG